CAAAAUUAAACUCGUUAAAAAGAAAAAAAAAAUUGUAAGUGGCGCAGUAUCUUUUUCACCAUGCAACAACGAAGAGUCUGAAAAAUUGCCAUGAAAAAAGCAUCUUUAUAGACAUGACGAGCCACGACUCGUUAAACAGACAGACGGACUGUCCAAGGUAAUCAAGAAGCGUCUAAAUGGACAAAAUGGAGCAACAGCCACCACUAGUUGCUGCUGUCAACGCAUCAUUCGAAAUGGAGCAAGAGGAUCCAAUCCUCGGAGGCAAUAAAUUUCAAAUAAUUUCCAAGCACGGACAAACAAAUGUGACAUAAAUCGUCUGGCUAACGGUAACGGAAGCAUGCAAAGCCAAAACAUUGACACUAAUGAAUGUGGCCAACACAAAUGUAAUUGUCGAAUGACAAUUUGUUUACAAUUGCCAAAGCAAAGCAACUAACGUUGGUAUUUAUUACUUGGCCGAACGAUCGUAGAAGUAUUUUGACUAACAGAUACCCUUUAGCUGUGAUAACAUAUUAUGAACACAAAGUGACAAAGUUUGCGAAAGACGAAACACUAUGUUUCAAAUUAUUUGUAUUUAUUUAUAUUUGGGUCACAUAAAAUAAUAUCAAACAGCAUGUGAA
ensembl:ncRNA lncRNA:CR43639 long non-coding RNA:CR43639